GCGGGAAUAGCUCCAGAUGGCUAGAGCACCAGCCUUCCAAGCUGGGGGGUCGCGGGUUCGAGCCCCGUUUCCCCGCUCCA
rnacentral:tRNA from 1 species